GUCGGGACGGCGGUGAGGCGGGCGGAGCGGGGCCGGCUGCCACCCAGACAGCCCCGCCACCCAGACAACCACGCCGCACGCGCCGGCUCAGCCCAACCCCGCGCCGGGUGCGAGCCCAGAGCCCGAGCUGCUACACCGCGCCCGGGGGCACGGCCCCGAGCCCUCCGGUAACUGCUCGUAUUGCUGUCCCGGAGCCAUUGCUAAGCCUCUUUUAUGCCUCGCUAUAUACGACAGAGAGGGAGAUGUAGUGGUUCCCCCACGACUCCUGCCGUAACAUUGGAUUUAAUGAAGCAACACCUCCCCGAGCCGCGUUAGGAAUAGUUGCAGAGCUGCAGGGGGAACGGAGCGCUCCGCGGGACCUCAGCACGGGCUGCGGUCAGUCCCAGAGCGAGGGGACUGAGGGCACCCUAGGUGGCAAUCAGAGCCAGCUGAGCCCAAUUAGCCUCGGGGGGAGGAGUACGGUGGGGCUGAAAAAGAGAGCUGGGAAGGUGUGCGCCUCACUUGGUGGUAUGACUUGCUUGGUUGUAGCUGUCUCAGAGAAGCUCCUGUGAUGGGGGCAUUUAGCAUGGGCAUGAAGGCAGCACAAAGCUGACCAGAGAGCAGACUGCGGGUUUGGAGCGAGGAGAGCUCAUUGCAGCACCUGUCACCACCCCACAGAGCUCCCUGGGCACCUGCAGACAUUUAUGGAUUGCAGCAUUUAUUUCCUGAGGCGACUCAUACGUCUUCCCCCGAGAGCGAUGCAGUUGCUGGGAGAGCACGUUCCUCUGAUCUGUCUCUAUCAGGUCUCGUGCUGCCAGUCUGAGUGAAGCAUCCAGGCCUGACUUGCACCUUCACUGGAAGAAGAUGGAUUGGGUGUAGGACUGGUCCCACACGCUCCAGAGGGCUGCUGCCUGUUUCUAGGGCAUUUGCCAGCAGACAGAUUCAAUUUAGUUCAACAACACCAUCCUCGAAAGCAGCUAAAUGAAAUGAAUGGCUGAUGCAGCACUGCUCAGCAGGGGGAGCGAGGUGCUCCGGGUUUACCCACGCUGGGCACAGUGCUGCUCAGUGCCUGCAGCUCCGGGGGCUGACUGCAGGGCCACGGGUGCUCAUAAUGAGAAUUAAUAAUGAAUUUAUCACAUUGCUCUUGGUGAAUUAUCUCCAAUAAUCACGUGCAAUUUGCUACUUCAGCGGAUACUCUGAUCGUAAACAGGUCUGGCAGAAUAAAGUCAUGGGAACUGAAUCUAAAAGGAGGGAGAAAAUGGUCGAGAUUAAUUACAUGAAACGUUCGAAGGAACAUUUUUGCACAUAAACAUUUGCAGUGUUUGCCCAAUGCUAGCAAAAUGAAUUCUAGACAGGAAAUGUGAGGAAAAUUACCUUCUGAUGUGGUACUGCAUUCAGUGCAACUGAG